GGAUAUUCAAGGAAAGGUACUGCUUUGUCUAAACUUUAUCGCUAUGAGGAGGCUUGUGAAGCAUUUUCUGAUGGAUUAAGGGUAAACCCAGAUAAUGCUGCUCUGAAAAAGGGAAUGGAAGAUGCUAAAUCUCACCUUACAGGUCCAGGGAAUAGUCAGCCAAUAUCCAGUCCAUUUGCAGCUCCUGAUAUGAUGGCAAAGCUACUGGCAAACCCCAAAACACGAGAAUAUCUUAAUCAGCCUGAUUAUUGUCAAAUGAUAGAAAAACUAAAGGAGAAUCCCAAUGAUCUCAAAGAUAUGGUGGAUCCGAGAAUAAUUACAACUCUUGGUGUACUUCUUGGUUUUGAUAUCACCACGCCAUCAGCAUUUACAGGGGAGGACGAAAUGAAGAGAUGGAAACAGAUUCGCCGCCGCCUCAAACUUCCGCUGAUUCUAAAUCUGCCUCAUUUCCUAACCCCAAUUCCCCAGACUCCUCAGUCCCCAGUAGUUCAGAGAAAGUAAAUUCAAAGGCUCUUGAGGAGAAAGAGAAAGGAAAUGCUGCAUACAAGAAGAAAGACUUUGAGGUGGCACUGGGUCAUUACUCUGCGGCCAUUGAAUUAGACCCCACCAACAUCACAUUCCGCAAUAAUAGAGCAGCGGUCUACUUUGAACAAGAAAACUAUGACAAGUGUAUAGAAGAAUGUGAAAAGGCUGUAGAAAUAGGACGUGAAAAUCGAGCUGACUACACCCUGAUAGCAAAAGCUUUAGCUCGAGCUGGGAAGGCCUACCUGAAAAAGGAUGAUGACGAGAGUGCCCUGCGCUAUUUGAACAAGUCCCUAUCAGAGCACCGAACACCUGAAAUUUCUAAAUUGAUCCUAGAAAUUGACAAACGAAUGAAGGAGAAGGAACGCUUGGCUUACGUUAAUCCUGAAUUGGCACUGGAAGAAAAGAACAAGGGAAAUAAAUAUUUCCAAGAUGGGAAGUAUCCUGAAGCUAAGAAACAUUAUGAUGAAGCAAUCAAGCGCAACCCGGAUGAUGCCAAAAUCUACAGCAAUAGAGCUGCCUGCUACACAAAGUUAAUGGAGUUCAAUCUUGCUUUGGCUGACUGUGAGAAAUGCAUUGCUCUGGAUCCUAAAUUUAUAAAAGGUUACCUCAGGAAGGGAAGCAUUCUGCUGGCAAUGAAGGAACCGACGAAGGCUGCGAGUGCCUACCAGAAAGCUCUGGAGAUUGAUCCAAACUCUGAGGAGGCCCAGAAGGGGUAUCGUGAUGCUAUGAUGGCUGAAGGCAAUGAUCCUGAGGCCGUCCGGAGACGUGCAAUGGGGGAUCCCGAGGUUCAAGCUAUCCUCAAUGACCCAGCCAUGCGCUUGAUCUUAGAACAAAUGCAGAAAGAUCCUAAUGCAUUGAAAGAGCACUUGAAGAAUCCAGACAUAGCAAAAAAGCUGGAGAAACUGUUGGAAUGUGGAAUCAUAGCAAUUCGCUGAUUUUUGCUAAGUUUUUAGAAUGGAACUCUGCUGUUUCCAGAAAUAAAAAGAGCAAAGAUUCCAGUUACGCGUACAUGUAUCUGAUUGUCAAUCCAAUACAAACACAAUAUGAGGACCAAACAGUUGAUCUUGCUUUUUUAUUGUGUAAAGAAAAAAGAAAAUUUCUCAUGACAUAAGAUGCUUGAUGAUUUGAUGUCCAGUAUAAUAAAAAUAUAAUUAUGU
rnacentral:misc_RNA from 1 species